CAAAAGAGCGCACAAAAGCCCUGCAGAAUGCUAGCAAUGAAUUUCCAGGUCAAGGGGAUUUGCACAUGCAUAAGUUUAACCCAUGGUGGUGUAGCGCUGAUAUUUGGGCUCAGAUGUGUGCUCAGUGGACAGAGCCUGAGUUUGUGCACAAAAGUAAUACUGCCUCGGGAAAUAGAUGUGGAGGUGCUGAGAAGGCAAAAGGUACAUACAAGGGAGGUAGUAUAUCCCAGGGGCAGCAUAUGGCUAACAAGGAGUCUCAAUCUCAGGGUACUAUCAACUGGUUGGAUGUGUACGUGGCUACUCGUGAAGGCAUACCUGCUGCUCAGGAAGUAGCG